UCCCUAGCUGUAAGAGACCGGUUCCUGAACGCGUGUUUUGCGAGAAGGGUCCGAGAGACCGGUCCCUGGUAGGGAGAGACCGGUUCCCGAACGUUGGUUCUGCGGGGCAGGCUGAGAGACCGGUCCCAGGUGUCGGGGAGACCGGUCCCUCAGCACGAAAACUGCCCAGACCGGGCAGUGCACAGGGUGACUUUUUGAGGGGCUUAUAUGGAUUUUGUUACUUUUAAGGGCCUUAAGGCCAUUUCCUCUCCCUCUCACCCUCAUUUCACUCCCUCACACUCACUCUAGAGAGAGAAAGAGAAGGAGAAGGAGAAGAAGGAGAGGAGAGGAGCUUACUUGGAGGUCUUGGAGCAUUAUCUUCUUCCUCAUUUCUCACCUUUGGUGGUUUGGAGCUUGCGGUUGGAGCCUUGUGGAGGAUCAAACUCUAACCCUACUUGAUUUAGAGCUUCGAUUGGAGCUUCUCUUGAGGUUGGUAACUUGUAUUUCCCAUUUAAUACAAGUUUUUCUAGAUUUUACUAGAUGAAACCCUAGAUUUUGGGAUUUAGGGUUUAUUUUGGGGAUUUUUGAUUUGAGGACUUUGAGACCUAAUUAAUAGGUUUAGAACCUUUAUUUAGGUUGGAUUUGAAGAACUCUAACUCCCAUUUGGAGCUUGAGAGAGGAUUUCUUCACCUAGGUGAGUUUUUCUCCACCUUAGCCUAUGUUGCUUAUUGAUUGAGCUUAGGGUUGAUCGUAAGGGCUAUUGGACACCUUCGUCGGACCUUACGAAGGGUUUCGUUAACCUUUGGUGGGUUUGGCUUCAUUGAAAUGGGAGGAAAUGCCUCCUAUGUGGUUAAAUGUUUUCGUAUACUCUAAAUACAUGCAUAUUCAUGUUCGAUGAAAUUUAUACGAAAUUUAGAAUGCUUAAAACCCCUAUGUUAUGCAUCAUGAAAAAUUGACUCUAUGUUGUAGAGAGAAGAAUAUGUAUUGUUAGUAUGCAUGAGUUUAAUGUUCUAAUGAAUAAUGUAAGAUCAUGUUUCUUGUGCGGAAAAUGAUUAGAAUGACAAGCUUUUAGACUUAUUAUUCACAUUGGGACAUAGUAAGCAAAAGUGUCAUAAAGGGGCACACGAACUAGAAAAUUAUUGAACUGCAACUUAGAGACAUGAUGAUAGGCCACUGAAAAUCUACUAUAUUCCAUGUUUUAGACAUGAUGACAUAGAGAUAGGCCAUUGAGACAGUUACUAUAUUCCGUGUUUUAGACACGAUGACAUAGAGGCAGGCCUUUGGGACAUGUGUUGUAUUUCGGAUUUUAGAUCCGAUGAAACAGUGAUGAACCACUGGGACCUGAGAUGGACUUAUUCGCUUUCAUGCCAUUGUGCUCAUUCUCACAUACUUGUGAGGGUCACUCCCUACAAGUCGGCACUCCGGAGUUAGCGAUCGCGACAUAUGCUCGCUCGUGCGGGAUUAGGCGCCGAAAUGGGAUGCCGUGGGGGAGGCUCAUUCCUAGAGUGGGGAUGUUGACUACCACGGGACCAUUAGGCACGGCGCAAGCCGGACUACCCAGGGGUGGGUCCUACAGGAUUGGAUCAUUGAUGACUUGGCAUACCGAUUGGACAUUGACUAGAAUAGUAAACAAGAGAUUUUACUAUUUAGCUUGUGGACAUCAUGCUAGUGACAUUUUGGUGCAUUCAUGUUAGAAUAGCCCUUUUAUUACUUAUGCAAUUCAUGCUAAGUAGAGAUAUCAUGUUGUAGUAAGUUAUAUGUUUACUCACAUAUCGAUUCUAUUGCUUUUAUUGUUACUUACCUGUUUAGCUCUUUUGGGCCAAGUGGUGCUUUCACUGAAGUCAGUAAUUGCCCGCUGGGAACUAUUAUUUAAUAGUUCUCACGCUCCCUAUUUUAUGGUUCUUUUUCAGAGCCCUCUGCACCGGCGGAGGUACGGGAUCGCGGCAAGGGGAUCGCUAGCUAGAUAGCGAGGAUUUACCGUUGCUUAGGUGGUUUUCUCUCUUUUUGUUAUAGUUGAGAGAGAGUGGGGUUUUGUAUCCAUGUAUAGAGACUACCUAUGUAUUUACUUGUAGCUCUUGUUUCGAGAUUCUUUUUGUACUACUUUAUGUUUUCAUCUAGUGGAUUUUAGUUUUGUGGUUCUUAUCCUCUGUUGUAGCAUCUAGAUAUACUUGCUCUGAUACUCCUAGAUGUUUUCUUUUUACUGCUUCCUUUAUCGUUUUGUUUUAGACGCCUUAUUGUUUUAGACAUAUGGUGGGUUUGGACACGCGCCGGGCGGGCUUCCGCUGGGUCCCGGGGCGUGAUAGAUUAGUUUGGUAUCAGAGCCUAGGGCUGAGUUUUAGUGGACCUAGCAAACCUUAUGCCGGUUGGACUAUAGGAAAUAGGCUCGUGAGAGACGAGAUCUUUUUGACUUGUAAGCGAAAGUAUUUUGAUUGGGUAUCUUGGUAACUCUAGAAAGUGGAGUUAAAUCGAAGUGUAUAGCUCCUAACUUCGCGGAGGGUUACGUUGGCGGCCGACAACGUAACAUCGGGAGUUUGUAGUGAAGCACACUUCAUUACUUUCGCAGGAUUUGGGGCAUUACCUUCUUGAGUGGGGAUUUAAUGGCGUGAGUUUACUAACUUACGAUUCUAUGAUGUUGUAGUGAGAUGCGAGACCUUUGCAAAUUGUGAGGUUCAAGUGUUUGAUAUGGAUCCCGAACUUUUCCACACUUGGUGGAAGGUCGUUGAUGGUAUUCCGACCUAAAAGUUCGAUUCCUGGAGUUUUGACAUUGUCCUGAGAGUUUUCACUCUCGGGGACCGAUUCCUGAUGGGAAAGACCGGUCCCCUCAGCACAGUGUCGCGGCCAGCUUGAGGAGGUCGAGACCUCUGCUACAUCCGGAUCUGGCGAGGUCCAGGAGUUGAGGAGCCAGCUUGCGGCCCUCACCGACUUAGUGACUCAGCAGGCGGAGGCGGCACGACAGCAGACUGAGGCGACGCGCUGGCAGGAGGCGCGGAUUAAACGCCUGGAGGACCUUCUUCUGCAGCAGGCGACAGUUUCCAGAGAGACGCAGGACCCUACACCGCCCGCACCAGUUGUGGACGUCGCGCCUACAGCGCUGUCCCCUGCGCCCAGUUCGUCGCGUGCGGCGCCCUUGGCCGUGCCUCAGGAGGAGGCUAUUGUGGCACCACCUGUGCAGAGACCCCCGGUUGGAGCAACUUUCCCUACCUUGGUCGAGGGAGCGGAGCGGGACAGACUGAUGGAGCGCCUCAACGAGUUCAGGAGGUGCAGUCCCCAGAUCUUCGACGGCGAGAAGGUCGACCAUUGGAUCAUGGAGAAGUGGUUGAUGCAUAUGGAGAAACUCUUCCACGACACCUUCGUGGAGGAGAGAGAUCGAGUUUGGCUCGCCACUCACUAUUUGGACGGCGAGGCCUAUCGCUGGUGGUUGGAUCUUCAGGAAAACCUCAGCACCGACUUGGCAGCUAUUACUUGGAAGAAGUUCAAGGAGCUUCUGUUCGCGCACUACUUCUCAACCAGCGUUAAGAGGAAGAUGGAGCAGGAUCUGCGCAACUUGCGCCAAGGUGAUCGGACAGUAGUCGAGUACGAGCGAGAGUUUUCUCGGCUUCUACACUGCGUGCCUUUCGUCAUGCGGGACGAUGAGGACAAGGCCCGCAUCUUCGAGCGAGGGUUGCGACCGUCGAUCUUCCGGUUUGUGCAAUCCUCUAACCUCCAAACCUACCGGGAGGUGGUGGAUCGCGUGCUCAUCGUGGAGAACGGCGCGGCAGACGUCCAGGAGCGGCGAGAGGUGAUUAACAAGGGUAAGGCCAAGAGGCCCGCGGCUGAGGGUGCGGGCGAGACGCACUCUAGGAGGCCGCCGAAAUACCCUAGGAGCCAACAGCGUGGGCGCGGCCCGGCAGCGUAGCGUGGAGGUUCUAAUCGACGCCGACCUCCCCAGUGCGUGAUCUGCGGUGGUCCUCACACUCCACCGCAGUGUCCACAGCGGGGAGGCAGGUCCUACUUGUGUAGCCAGGAGGGCCACUUCCGGACUGAGUGCCCGAGGAGAUCGUCAUCGGCACCAUCGACUGCAUCGGCACUUGCUCUACCAGCCGCUAGCCACGGGACUCCGUCGACACAGUACCAGCCUGGGCGGCCACCCGUCCAGCGCUAGAGUGAGGGUUCUCGACAGGCUCCGAGUGGGCGUAUGUAUACCGCUCAGACCGAGGAGGCGGCAACAGCCGAGGAUGUGGUUGCAGGUAUCAUUUUACUUGAUGGCAUUAGAGUUCGUGCUUUAUUUGAUACCGGUGCAUCGCAUUCAUUUAUAGAUCGGCUAUUUGCCGAGUUGCAUGGCAUCUCUUGGGUUUCUUUGUUGCAUCCGGGACAUGUUGUAGUACCCGACCACACUCUGGAUAUUAGAGAGUAUUGCCCUAGCUGCCCUGUUCGGGUAGGGGAUUGGAUCAUGCCCGUGGAUUUGCUAGCUCUGCGCAAGCUCGAGGAUUUUGAUGUGGUCUUGGGUAUGGAUUGGCUAACCAAGUAUUAUGCCACGAUUGAUUGUAAGAAUCGCACGGUUACUUUUAGAGAACCGGGGCAGACUGAGGUAGUGUUUAGAGGAUGUCGGAGUUUGCUUUUUGCGAUGUCGAUCAGCUCGUCUCGAGCACGGCAGCUGAUCAGCCGAGGAUGUGUAGCCUACUUGGCUAGUGUUGCGUUGAGGGGCGAGGAUGACACCCCUAGGAUUGAGGAUGUCCCGGUGGUACGGGAGUUUCGGGACGUGUUUCCAGCUGAGCUACCGAGUAUGCCACCCGAUAGGGAGAUCGAGUUUGUGGUUGAUCUCACCCCUGGGACUACUCCAAUCUCGAAAGUGCCCUAUAGGAUGGCACCGGCGUAGCUAAAGGAGCUUAGGGCACAGCUACAGGAUCUGUUGGAUAAGGGCUUCAUUCGACCGAGCGUCUCGCCGUGGGGAGUGCUAGUUCUGUUCGUCAAGAAAAAGGACGGAUCAUUUCGCCUUUGUGUGGACUAUUGUGAACUCAAUAAAGUCACGAUCAAGAAUAAGUAUCUGUCGCCGAGGAUCGAUGAUUUGUUUUAUCAGCUUCAAGGAUCGUAUGUGUAUUCCAAGAUAGACUUGCAGUCGGGAUACCACCAGUUAAAGAUCAAACCCGAGAAUGUAUCGAAAACAGCUUUUAGAACACGGUAUGGACAUUAUGAGUUCAUAGUUAUGCCGUUUGGGCUUACUAAUGCCCCGGCAGCUUUUAUGGAUCUUAUGAACCGUAUUUUCAAGCCUUACUUGGACAGAUUUGUCGUGGUGUUUAUCGACGAUAUUUUUGCUUAUUCCCGAAGUGACGCGGAUCACGAGGAGCAUUUGAGGCUUGUACUUCAAAUACUUUGGAAAAAGGAGCUUCAUGCCAAGUUGAGAAAGUGUGAAUUUUCGCUUCGAGAGGUAGCCUUCCUUGGACAUUUCAUAUCGGGAUCGGGUAUAGCCAUGGAUCCUAAGAAGAUUGAAGUAAUCAAGGAUUGGCCGAGACCGACGAGCGUCACGGAGAUACGGAGCUUCCUUGGAUUUGCCGGUUACUACCGGAGGUUUGUUGAGGGAUUUGCUAAGCUAUUUACUCCCCUCACGAGGCUCACGCAUAAAGGUGUCAAGUUCAUCUGGAAUGAUGCGUGUGAGAGAAGCCCAAGAGCUGAAGCAACGAUUGACGACCGCCCCUAUCCUAACCUUGCCAGUUGCUGGAGCAGGGUAUGUGGUUUAUAGUGAUGCUUCACUUAAUGGAUUGGGUUGUGUGUUGAUGCAGGAUGGCAAAGUGAUCGCGUAUGCUUCGCGCCAACUGAAGGAAUAUGAAAAGAAUUACCCUACGUAUGAUUUGGAGUUGGCGGCCGUAGUCUUCGCAUUGAAGUUAUGGCGCCACUACUUAUAUGGCGAGCGGUGUGAAGUAUACACGGAUCACAAGAGCUUAAAGUAUUUGUUUACUCGGAAGGAGUUGAACUUGAGACAGCGCAGAUAGUUGGAGCUGCUCAAGAAUUAUGAUUUGACUAUCCUUUACCAUCCGGGCAAGGUUAACGUGGUGGCGAAUGCGCUAAGUAGGAAAUCAACAGAAAACUUAGCAAUGCAUGUUGUUACUCAACCGCAAUUGAUCGAGCAGAUGAAGCGGCUGGAGUUGGAGGUAGUGACUCCUGACACGCCUGUGAGGUUAAUGACUUUGGUGAUGCAACCUACACUCUUGGAUAGAAUUAAAGAGAAGCAAGCUUCCGAUGUGGAGUUGCAAAAGAUUAAAGGUAAAAUGGUUGAUGGUUGCAUCGGCGAUUUCAUUGUGGAUGACCAAGGAUUAAUGCGUUUCCGUGGACGGAUUUGUGUAUCGGCAGAUCCGGGAAUUAAGGAGGAUAUUCUUCAAGAAGCGCACCGAGCGCCCUAUUCUAUACAUCCGGGAGCCACCAAGAUGUAUAAAGACUUAAAGUUGCUCUAUUGGUGACCUGGGAUGAAAAAGGACGUUGGCGAGUUUGUAGCUCGAUGUCUGACUUGCCAACAAGUGAAAGCUGAGCACCGAUUACCCGCGAAAAAGCUUCAGAGUUUGCCUAUCCCCGUGUGGAAGUGGGAGAAGAUCACCAUGGACUUCGUGACUGGAUUGCCCCGCUCCCAGGCCGGGCAUGAUGCUAUAUGGGUGAUCGUGGAUAGGUUGACGAAGUCGGCGCACUUCAUACCUAUUCAUACUACUUGGAUCGGAGAAAAGCUCACAUAAGUGUACCUUGACGAGAUUGUGCGACUCCAUGGAGUGCCUACAUCGAUCGUAUCGGAUCGAGACAGUCGGUUUGUGUCUCACUUUUGGAGGAGUCUACAGGACGCCCUAGGCGCUCGACUGGACUUUAGUACUGCUUUCCACCCCAGAGUGAUGGGCAGUUGGAGCACACCAUUCAGACUUUAGAGGAUAUGCUCCGAGCAUGUGUGAUAGACUUCCAGGGAGGAUGGUCGCAGCAUCUACCGAUGGCGGAGUUUGCUUAUAACAACAGUUAUCAAGCAAGCAUCAAGAUGACGCCCUUCGAAGCACUCUAUGGACGGAAGUGUAGAUCGCCACUUCAUUGGAGUGAAGUUGGCGAGAGAUUGGCGUUAGGCCCUGAUGUGCUCCAGGAAGCUGAGGACAAAGUUCGAAUUGCUCGGGAGCGACUUUUGAUGGCACAGAGUAGACAGAGGAGCUACGCUGACCGACGACGGCGAGACUUGGAGUUCCAAGUUGGAGACCAUGUUUUCUUGAAGGUCUCGCCGACUAGAGGGAUCAAGAGAUUCGGGAUUCGGGGUAAGUUGAGCCCCCGUUUCAUUGGACCGUAUGAGAUUUUGGAACGUGUAGGUCCGGUAGCGCAUCGACUUGCUCUACCACCGAACUUAUCGGGCGUGCACAACGUUUUUCAUGUAUCGGUCCUUCGGAAGUAUGUUUUCGACCCAACUCAUGUGCUGGAUGCCACACCUGUGGAGUUGCGGGACGACUUGAGCUUCGAGUAGCAACCAGUGAGGAUCUUGGCUCGUGAGGUGCGGAAACUGCGGAAUCGGGAUAUUUCGUAUGUGAAAGUUCUUUGGAGCAACCACGGGGAGCGGGAGGCCACGUGGGAGCUAGAGAGCGUGCUGCGGGAGCGCUAUCCCCAUCUUUUUCAUAUGGAGCUUUGAGGUAUGUGCUGUUGCUUUGAGUUUUGCGGACGAAACUCCUUUUUAGAAGGGGUGAAUGUAGCACAAUGGACCUUUGCAAAUUGCGAGGUUCGAGUAUUUGAUAUGGAUCCCGAACUUUUCCACAUUUGGUGGAAGGUCGUUGAUGGUAUUCUGACCUAAAAGUUCGAUUCCUGGAGUUUUGACAUUGUCCUGAGAGUUUUCACUCUCGGAGACCGGUCCCUGAUGGGAGAGACCGGUCCCCUCAGUACAGUGUCGCGGCCUGCUUGAGGCAACUGGUCCUUGGUUGUGAGAGACCGGUUCCCGAACGCGUGUUUUGCGAGAAGGGUCCGAGAGACCGGUCCCUGGCAGGGAGAGAUCGGUUCCCGAACGUUGGUUCUGCGGGGGAGGCUGAGAGACCGGUCCCAGGUGUCGGGGAGACCGGUCCCUCAGCACGAAAACUGCCCAGACCGGGCAGUGAACAAGGUGACUUUUUGAGGGGCUUAUAUGGAUUUUGUUACUUCUAAGGGCCUUAAGGCCAUUUUCUCUCCUUCUCACCCUCAUUUCACUCCCUCACACUCACUCACAAGUGGGCACUCCGGAGUUAGCCAUCGCGACAUAUGCUCGCUCGUGCGGGAUUGGGCGCCGAAAUGGGAUGCCGUGGGGGAGGCUCAUUCCUAGAGUGGGGAUGUUGACUACCACGGGGCCAUUAGGCACGGCGCAGGCCGGACUACCCACGGGUGGGUCCUACAGGAUUGGAUCAUUGAUGACUUGGCAUACCGAUUGGACAUUGACUAGAAUAGUAAACAAGAGAUUUUACUAUUUAGCUUGUGGACAUCAUGCUAAUGACAUUUUGGUGUAUUCAUGUUAGAAUAGCCCUUUUAUUACUUAUGCAAUUCAUGCUAAGUAGAGAUAUCAUAUUGUAGUAAGUUAUAUGUUUACUCACAUAUCGAUUCUAUUGCUUUUAUUGUUACUUACCUGUUUAGCUCUUUUGGGCAUAGUGGUGCUUUCACUGAAGUCAGUAAUUGUCCACUAGGAACUAUUAUUUAAUAGUUCUCACGCCCCCUGUUUUAUGUUUCUUUUUCAG
rnacentral:lncRNA from 1 species